UACAUGGGGUGCAAACGUUGCUCGGAAUUAUUGGGCGUAAAGCGCGCGUAGGCGGUUGCUUAAGUCGGAUGUGAAAGCCCUCGGCUUAACCGGGGAAGUGCACCCGAACCUGAGCAGCUUGAGUACGAAAGAGGGUCGCGGAAUUCCCGGUGUAGAGGUGAAAUUCGUAGAUAUCGGGAGGAACACCGGUGGCGAAGGCGGCGACCUGGGUCGAGACUGACGCUGAGGCGCGAAAGCGUGGGGAGCAAACAGG
rnacentral:rRNA from 1 species